AUGAACGCUAGCUACAGGCUUAACACAUGCAAGUCGAGGGGCAUCAGGAAGAAAGCUUGCUUUCUUUGCUGGCGACCGGCGCACGGGUGAGUAACACGUAUCCAACCUGCCCUUUACUCGGGGAUAGCCUUUCGAAAGAAAGAUUAAUACCCGAUAGCAUAAUGAUUCCGCAUGGUUUCAUUAUUAAAGGAUUCCGGUAAAGGAUGGGGAUGCGUUCCAUUAGGUUGUUGGUGGGGUAACGGCCCACCAAGCCUUCGAUGGAUAGGGGUUCUGAGAGGAAGGUCCCCCACAUUGGAACUGAGACACGGUCCAAACUCCUACGGGAGGCAGCAGUGAGGAAUAUUGGUCAAUGGGCGCUAGCCUGAACCAGCCAAGUAGCGUGAAGGAUGAAGGCUCUAUGGGUCGUAAACUUCUUUUAUAUAAGAAUAAAGUGCAGUAUGUAUACUGUUUUGUAUGUAUUAUAUGAAUAAGGAUCGGCUAACUCCGUGCCAGCAGCCGCGGUAAUACGGAGGAUCCGAGCGUUAUCCGGAUUUAUUGGGUUUAAAGGGAGCGUAGGUGGACUGGUAAGUCAGUUGUGAAAGUUUGCGGCUCAACCGUAAAAUUGCAGUUGAUACUGUCAGUCUUGAGUACAGUAGAGGUGGGCGGAAUUCGUGGUGUAGCGGUGAAAUGCUUAGAUAUCACGAAGAACUCCGAUUGCGAAGGCAGCUCACUGGACUGCAACUGACACUGAUGCUCGAAAGUGUGGGUAUCAAACAGGAUUAGAUACCCUGGUAGUCCACACAGUAAACGAUGAAUACUCGCUGUUUGCGAUAUACAGUAAGCGGCCAAGCGAAAGCAUUAAGUAUUCCACCUGGGGAGUACGCCGGCAACGGUGAAACUCAAAGGAAUUGACGGGGGCCCGCACAAGCGGAGGAACAUGUGGUUUAAUUCGAUGAUACGCGAGGAACCUUACCCGGGCUUAAAUUGCAGUGGAAUGAUGUGGAAACAUGUCAGUGAGCAAUCACCGCUGUGAAGGUGCUGCAUGGUUGUCGUCAGCUCGUGCCGUGAGGUGUCGGCUUAAGUGCCAUAACGAGCGCAACCCUUAUCUUUAGUUACUAACAGGUCAUGCUGAGGACUCUAGAGAGACUGCCGUCGUAAGAUGUGAGGAAGGUGGGGAUGACGUCAAAUCAGCACGGCCCUUACGUCCGGGGCUACACACGUGUUACAAUGGGGGGUACAGAAGGCAGCUAGCGGGUGACCGUAUGCUAAUCCCAAAAGCCUCUCUCAGUUCGGAUCGAAGUCUGCAACCCGACUUCGUGAAGCUGGAUUCGCUAGUAAUCGCGCAUCAGCCACGGCGCGGUGAAUACGUUCCCGGGCCUUGUACACACCGCCCGUCAAGCCAUGGGAGCCGGGGGUACCUGAAGUACGUAACCGCAAGGAUCGUCCUAGGGUAAAACUGGUGACUGGGGCU
rnacentral:rRNA from 1 species